rnacentral:lncRNA from 1 species
CUUCUCCAUAUACAACCUCAACUCCAAACAUCAACAGUGUGAGAAAUGCUGAUUCGAGAGGAUCUCUCAUAAGCACAGAUUCGGGUAACAGCCUUCCAGAAAGGAAUAGUGAGAAGAGCAAUUCCCUGGAUAAGAGGGAGAAGCUGCUCCGAAGGCACUCUGCUUGUGUCAUACGCAGUGCUGAAGAGGAGGAGGAGAGCUGCCAGUCAGCCAGGAAAAACCGGGUCACUGUGGAUUUUUCCCUUCUAAUGAUUCCACCUUUGCCAGAGGAGACAUUGAAUGCAACACCUUCCCUCCCACUGCCGGAAGUACUAAGUUCUCCAGUGGCUCUGAUCAAGUGGCACCAACAAAGUAGCACAUUGGGAAAUUCCGUGGUUCGCUGUGAUAAACUUGACCAGUCUGAGAUUAAGAGCCUACUGAUGUGUUUCCUCUACAUCUUAAAGAGCAUGUCUGAUG